rnacentral:lncRNA from 1 species
UAGAAUAAAAAGAUGAUCUCCUUGACAUACAUAAUCCAAUAUUGUAUAAGACCAAUAUUGACAUUCCACCAGAUCUCCUAAUUUCCUUAAAAACCUUAAAAUAGCACUCUGUUAAAUCAGUACAAAGCUUAACAUUUAAUAACGCCAUUGGAUAAAUCGUUUCCAAAUCUAGGACGCAAACAUGGCUUAGAAGUGGUAAUCUCCAUAUAAUUCCAAGUUUGUGAAACCCAUAUAAGUGCCAUAAUCUCCAUAUUGCGACCCACCUCCGCAACCAUAAUAUUCGAUGCAUUAGAAACCCCACGUUUUCACCCU